rnacentral:hammerhead_ribozyme from 1 species
AUCCAGAUGACGAGUCCCACAUAGGACGAAACACGCGUCCUGGAU